CCUCAAGGAGGUUAGCUAAAGCAACAUUAUAGAGCAACUUCUCCCACAAGCGGAAAAUGAGGAACGGAGAGCCCAGUGGUGAAAGAUCACAGUGUAGCAAGUCCCUAAUGGCUGACCCCACCUGCACAUUCUUCAGAAGAUGGUUUUCCAAUUCCUGCCGCUUAUCCUGGUUGCUGUGGACUCCAAUGGCUUCAAUUGUGGGCUCCUGCUCCCACUCUUUAAAAAGGUCAUUCUCUGCUCGAGUGUCAAUCUGAGCCCAUUUCCAGUGAGUUGUUAAUUAGGACUGCACCCAUGAGAAAACCCUAAUGGAUUCCUUCUCCCCCAAUUUAUCAGGGGUCUAUAACUCUGCCAGUUCUGGACUGUCUCUCAGGUAACUAAGC